UAAUGGCGUUUUGUGGGCGUGGCAUCUACGAACUCCUUCUCACUUUUUUGCCAAGGAACAUUAAGAUAGCUCAAUUUUUACUCAAGUUAUCGCUUGCAAAUUUUGUUGUAAGAUGGAAUUAAGAACAAAUCUACAUCAGUUGACGUCAUAGUGACUCUCUAUCCUUUACUAAAAGAUGGGACUCAUGCCCGAAGUGUUCGAUGCAAAACAAAGUGAACGCAAGUAAUCCUACGUAACAUAAUAUGUGUACUCAACGCAGUCCAUUGCUCGCGGAUAUAAAAAUUCAAUAACAAAGUCAUACGUCAUCAACUGGUGCGAAUACGGCAAUACAAGUUUGUUAAAACAUAUUUUUGUUUUACCUUAAAAUUAAGUGAAUUUCCUGAAUCAGAAUAAAUGAUCGCGAGUGCGCAAAUGUUGUGUACUUUUUAAUACCCUAAAAAAGAGGUGCGUUCUGUGGAAUGUUAAAAAAAAGAAACAAAAAAAAACCAAUUAGAUGCAUAUACGUAUGUGUGUACAUAUGUUCAUACAAAUAUUAUUUUUGAUACUUUUAACGAUAAUUUCUUUCGUCUUGGCAUGAUCGCGAUUUCACAUUUCUCUUGUUUAUUGAGGCUUAACAAGUUUGACUAAUUCAAAUGAUUCACAGUUAGAAGUUUGACAUUUGUUGUCAGUCAACAACAACUAACUUUCCAGGCACGUAAAAUAAUGAUUUCGUUCGUUUUUCUAUAAAAUUCCAUAAAAACUUUAAAUAUCUUUAAAAUUAAUUGGUAGACAUAAUGCAGUACAAUUCAUGCCAAGGCCACAAUUCUAACACAGUCGGCUGAAUAAGCGCCCGCUCAGGGGGAAGCCAAGCGCCUUGGUACGGCUGGUUCAAAACAAAGGCAAUUGAAUUAGCUACGUCACAAGUUUAAUUAAUUUCUGCUUAUUUGUUUAAUGUGAAUGCUAAAGCUGACUCGAUAUGUAUAUAGCUUUAUCAGCCUUUAAAUGCAUGCAUGUGUGUGUGUAUGCGGUUUUGAAAACAAUCAGAUCGCUGAACAAUUUCAGUUGGGGAAAUCACUAGCGAGGAACUUCAAUGGAAGCCGAAUUUAACCCUUAAUUUAGUUGUUUCGAAUUCAAAGCCUUGGAAACCCCCUCAAAAGUAGCAUCGCUCUUAAAUGAGUCAGCUUAAAUACUAGAAAAACUAAACUGGUGAGUUUGUAGGAAAAGAACGGGCUUCAAAUAGCUACUGGCACUCAAUAUUUACAUACAACUCUGGCAAGUAUUUAUAGAAAAGUGUAUGUCUAAAAAUAAAUUGUAAAAUGAAAAAUGUAAGGGCAAACAUCUAUAGGGGUUUUAAAGAAUAUGAAUAUACGAAAAAUACGAAAAUAUUCGUAUGCGAUUUUGUUUCUUCAAUUGUUCGUCAUUUGUUUUCAAAAAGUGUAUGAGGAAACUAUAUAAAACUGUAACCCAACAAAUAAAAUAAAUCUAAAACACUUGUGUUGUUAUUAUAUAUUCGUACCUGAUCGCAACUUGGCCUCGAAUUAAGUCAAGUGGAAGGCAGUGCCGAUAACAUUUUUAACUGGGUACACAGCAUGCAACUAUACAUACUUAUAUGUUUGCCUUAAUAGAAGAAUAAAUUAAUUGCAGUGGAUAUUUACUAAAAACAUAAACAUUUAAACCAGAGUUCAAGGAGAAGGAAUUUAAAGCCAAGAUGUUUCAGAGUUUUCAAAAGAGGGAGAUAAAACACAGUCACCGCAAAAACAAAUUAUAUUAUAUUAACAUACUGGAUCGUGAAUUUUAUAUUAAUGUUGUCAUCGACGUAUAUACCAUAGACUACUGACCGAUUUUAGUAAAAUUCAAUACACUGUGUCCAGUUUGAACCAACUUAAAAAAUAGGAUAGUAAAUAUCUUAAUUAUAUUAACAUUAAAACAAUUCAUAAAUAAAUAAAAAUAUAUUUCUAAACAGCAACAUUUUUCCAAAAUUCAAAAAAAAAAUAUUUGUCCUUUUCAAAAUUAAACCUCAAGUACAA